rnacentral:pre_miRNA from 1 species
AGUGGAAUGACUGGGACAAAUGGUGGAUCCAGUCCAAGUUUUCUUAGGAAUCUCCAUACUGCUUUCCAGAUUGGUUCACCAAUUUGCAGUCCCACCAGCAAU